GACGUAGGGCGCGAGCGUUGUCCGGAUUUAUUGGGCGUAAAGAGCGUGUAGGCGGCCAGAAAAGUCCGCUGUGAAAACUCGAGGCUCAACUUCGAGCUGUCGGUGGAAACUUUCUGGCUAGAGUCCGGAAGAGGAGAAUGGAAUUCCUGGUGUAGCGGUGAAAUGCGCAGAUAUCAGGAAGAACACCCGUGGCGAAGGCGGUUCUCUGGGAUGGUACUGACGCUGAGACGCGAAAGCGUGGGGAGCGAACAGG
rnacentral:rRNA from 1 species